AGUAAGACCAAGUUCGGUGCGCCAUUUCCUUGUCUGUAGCCAUGUCCAUGGGCUCUUCAGUUUGCCACCUGGGUGAGGGCCUGCU
rfam:Homo sapiens chromosome 18, GRCh38 reference primary assembly.